rnacentral:lncRNA from 1 species
AAGGAAGCUGGGUCCACAUUUUGUGCAGUCCACACGUGAUGGCUCAUCUUAACUAACAUAUAAAGGGAAUUAAAGCUAUCAAUCUUGUCCCCCAGUGCUAUAAGAUUGUUCAGCUCAGGUUCAAUACAACGAAAUAUUUUUGUCAUCAUUUGUCGGAUCAUGUCCUUCUCAGAUGAUACUGUCUGUGGAACACCAGGAAUGUAUGAACGAGAUAAAUUUCCUCCAUCCAUUUCCUCUGUUUCAUUCGUUGUUGUUCCUGAGAUGCUCUGAUGCUGCUGUAGUUUGAAAAAUUUACUAAUGAAGUCCUGUUCUGCCAGACAUAGGGGCUCUAGUUCACUUAAUACUUGCUCAAAAAUCUUAUCAAAUUUUGUUCUAUCAGC